rnacentral:tRNA from 1 species
CUCCUUGUGGUGUAGUUGGCUAUCACGUCGGGCUGUAAACCUGAAGGUCACCGGCUCGAUUCCGGUCGGGGAGA